rnacentral:lncRNA from 1 species
GUGUCGCGGCCCAUGCAAAUUUGAUUGCAUAUUAGAAAUGCAGUAUAGCUAGGAAAUGACUCCUAGGUCGUCUCUCAAGGACCAAUUUUGCGGUUCUAGAAUCAAGUCAAACACGAAGUGGGGAGGGUUUGAAAAAGGAUUGUGAAUGCGGAUAAACUAAAUUAAAACACGGAUGCAACAGAAAUGUAAAAUCAGAAUUGCAAAAGGAAAUCACAUACAGAAUAAAAACGGUUGGUCAUUAACUUAAUUACAAUGUUUCCAAUCACAAAUCAACAAAAUAAAGUUGCGACUCAAACUUCUAAUCCAACAAAGUUAACCAACUAAGCGAAGGUUAACCCUGUUUUCAUAAAAACGAACUAAGCGAACGCAAUGAUAAUAUCAAAUCUAAAUUACACCAUUAAGUUACAUCAACUAAGCGAAGAUGUAACACCAACUGGGCAACUAAGCGUAUACCCAAUUGCAAGUUCAAAAAUAGAAUUCACAUCAACCAAGUCAGAGUGGCAAACGUAGUCACAGUUCAGAAAUCUCAAGGAAACAGUGCAAUUUUAUUAAUGACCAACAAAAUUAAUUUAAGCUAGCAUGAUAACUAAAUUAUUUCUACCACAAAUACAAGACAUCAUUAGGACAAAAUAAAAUAAAAUACUAGACACCAACACAAUUAAAAAUAAUUAAAUGCAACACUAACUCAAACACAUAAAAAACAACUCAACCACUAAUUAAACUAAGUGAAAAAAAAAGAGAAAUUAACAAGCCUAUUGUACUUCUAGUAAUUUAAGUGACCCAAUAUGCAAUUAAUAAAUAAAUUAAAAGUCCAAAUGGCCUAAGGAUACCUCUUAGCCGUGAGUUACCAUGCACCAAAAUCAAACUCCAAAUUCCACCUUCAAUAAGCUACAAAAUGUGUUGACUUCUUAUCUCAUGUGCACCAUUUUCCAAGGAAAUAAGCAUGUGCCUUCCAAAAAAAGUAAAACCAUCCUCUCUCUUCCACCAUGCAGCAAAGAAAAUGAAAUACACAAGCUAAGACACAAUUGCCGUGAGCAAGCAAAGAGCUUCUACAAAAGUUGCUUCAAAAACCAAUGUGCAAAUGGAAGAUACUUUGAAUGGUCCAACCCAUGUGCCAUGUAAGCAAAGUCAAAGCAAGGAAAAACAAUCACAAUACAUCCCCUUUUUCAAAUCCACUCUCGGUAAUUUCAAAUGCUAGCAAAGAUGACCACCAAAAUUGGAAACAUUCCUUCCAUGAAAAGAAGCNUCUCAUGUGUUGGUCCAAAUGGGGUAAAAAUUAAAUGCACCUUUCUCUCUCCCUUCUCACCUCAUUUUCGUUUUUUUCUCUACCAACAAACAUCAUUCAACUUUUCUUCCUUCACCUUACCAAAACAAUGCUCCAAGAACCCAAGGUUCCAAAUGCAAAACAAUACACACACAUCAAACACAAAGUCCACCUCCUUCAACCUCACUUCUAACUCUCUUCUCUUCAAAUUUUUGACAAAAAUAAAAUGGAAUCACUAAACCUCUUUCAAGAACCGUCCAACACUCAUUAUGAAACAUAAUGUGCAGCUCCAAAUAUGUUUCCAAACAUCAAAAACGAAAUGCAAGAAGAAAGGGUUCAAAACUCAAAAC